CAACGCCACCUUGUGGCCACCGCAAACACCCCCACAUCCCUCCCCUGUUCGCACACCUCUGCCUCCCUCGUUCUUCGCCUCUGCCACACUGCCCAGCCACGCAGCCACCACCACUUCCGGCCGCUCACACCUCCUAAAUAAAUCCCCGCUCCCACCCUCAUCGUCGAGCCACCUCAGACACCCCCGGAACCACCGCAGCACCGCACAAAUCCCCUGUUUUCCCCUGUUUUACUCGACCACCCUCGUCCCCUUCCUUUUUGUUCCGCCGCACCGCAAUCACCAUCACCGGCGCGCUUUAGCGCCACCGUGCCGCCCAGGCUUCAGUCGCCACCUCCCUUCUCUCUGCCCUUCCUCUUCGUCCGUCCCCUGUUCCUUCGCGGCUCCUCUGCGCCUUACGGGAAACAAGUUCCAUUUGGAACUUUGUUUUCCUUUAUUUCUUAAGCAGAGGCCCAAUUCCCUUGGCCCAAAUUUCCAAAAAAUCAAACUCGGAGCUCAGGAAGAACGAUCCAUCGAACAGGGAAUAUAAACUACGGUUGAGGUACGAAGAAGAUCAUGGGAUGCCUUAGAGUGAGGAUGCAACCAUCAAAUUCACGAUCGAUGUUUAGUAGAGACAAUUAUGUCAUUAGUAAUAAAGGGAUGUAUUAAUUAAACUCUAAGUUUGAUCUCAUGAUUUGAGUUAAAUUUUAAUACUAAUAUUAACCAAAUGCUAAAAGUAUUUAUUGUUAAAGUUUAUUUAGUAAUUGAAAAAGGUUAUGUCGCCUUGGAUUUUCCACGAGGGAAAUACGGCAAGUGACGCUCCGACUAAAUUAGGGUUUCCGCUGCAAAUUAAAGAUAAUUAACCUAAUUAAUGGUGUUUAGAAGUCGGGGCGUUA